rnacentral:rRNA from 1 species
AUGGCGUGCCUUUUGUAGAAUGAACCGGCGAGUUGCGUUUGCGUGCAAGGUUAAGGCGGGGAGCCGAAGCCGGAGCGAAAGCGAGUCUGAAGAGGGCGAAUGAGUACGCAGGCGCAGACCCGAAACCGGGUGAUCUACCCCUGUCCAGGGUGAAGGUUCGGUAACACGGACUGGAGGCCCGAACCCACGAGCGUUGAAAAGCUCGGGGAUGAGGUGGGGGUAGCGGAGAAAUUCCAAUCGAACUCGGAAAUAGCUGGUUCUCCCCGAAAUAGCUUUAGGGCUAGCCUCGGGUGUAGAGUAGCGGAGGUAGAGCACUGAUAGGGUGCGGGGCCCGCCAAGGGUUACCAAGUCUUGUCAAACUCCGAAUGCCGCAUACUUGCUGCCCGGGAGUCAGACCAUGAGUGCUAAGAUCCAUGGUCAAGAGGGAAACAGCCCAGAUCAUCAGCUAAGGCCCCCAAGUGCGUGUUAAGUGGGAAAGGAUGUGGAGUUGCAAAGACAACCAGGAUGUUGGCUUAGAAGCAGCCAUCAUUCAAAGAGUGCGUAAUAGCUCACUGGUCGAGUGACUCUGCGCCGAAAAUGUAACGGGGCUAAACACGCCGCCGAAGCUAUGGCUACGCACACUUCGUGUGCUGGGGUAGGGGAGCGUCGGGUACGCGUUGAAGUCAGACCGGAAGGACUGGUGGAGUGUACUCGAGUGAGAAUGCCGGUAUGAGUAACGAAAAGAUGGGUGAGAAUCCCAUCCGCCGAAAGCCUAAGGUUUCCUGAGGAAGGUUCGUCCGCUCAGGGUUAGUCGGGGCCUAAGGCGAGGCCGAAAGGCGUAGUCGAAGGACAACAGGUUGAUAUUCCUGUACCACCGUAAGCCGUUAUGAGCGAUGGGGUGACGCAGAAGGACAGUGACGCGGACUGCUGGAAUAGUCCGUCCAAGCAGCGAGGCUGGUGUGCAGGCAAAUCCGCACAUCAUAAGGCUGAGCUGUGACGGGGAGGGAAACUUGUAGUACCGAAGGUCAUGCGUUCUGGCUGCCGAGAAAAGCCUCUAGCCAGGCGAAGGUGCCCGUACCGCAAACCGACACAGGUAGGCAAGCAGAGCAUGCUGAGGCGCGCGGAAGAACUCUCGUUAAGGAACUCGGCAAAAUGACCCCGUAACUUCGGGAGAAGGGGUGCCCCGGUAGGGUGAAUAGCCCGAGGGGGCCGCAGUGAAAAGGCCCAAGCGACUGUUUAGCAAAAACACAGGUCUGUGCGAAGCCGCAAGGCGAAGUAUACGGGCUGACGCCUGCCCGGUGCUGGAAGGUUAAGGGGAGCGGUUAGGUUUAGGCCGAAGCUGUGAACCGAAGCCCCAGUAAACGGCGGCCGUAACUAUAACGGUCCUAAGGUAGCGAAAUUCCUUGUCGGGUAAAUUCCGACCCGCACGAAUGGCGUAACGACUUGGGCGCUGUCUCAACGAGAGAUCCGGUGAAAUUUUAGUACCUGUGAAGAUGCAGGUUACCCGCGACAAGACGGAAAGACCCCAUGGAGCUUUACUGCAGCUUGAUAUUGGACUUUGGUACGGUCUGUACAGGAUAGGUGGGAGCCUGGGAAGCCGGGGCGCCAGCUUCGGUGGAGGCGCCGUUGGGAUACCACCCUGAUCGUAUCGAAGUUCUAACCUGGCACCGUGAUCCGGUGCGGGGACCGUGUCAGGCGGGCAGUUUGACUGGGGCGGUCGCCUCCCAAAGCGUAACGGAGGCGCCCAAAGGUUCCCUCAGAAUGGUUGGAAAUCAUUCGGAGCGUGUAAAGGCAGAAGGGAGCUUGACUGCGAGACUGACAAGUCGAGCAGGGACGAAAGUCGGGCUUAGUGAUCCGGUGGUACCGAAUGGAAGGGCCAUCGCUCAACGGAUAAAAGCUACCCUGGGGAUAACAGGCUUAUCUCCCCCAAGAGUCCACAUCGACGGGGAGGUUUGGCACCUCGAUGUCGGCUCAUCGCAUCCUGGGGCUGAAGUAGGUCCCAAGGGUUGGGCUGUUCGCCCAUUAAAGCGGUACGCGAGCUGGGUUCAGAACGUCGUGAGACAGUUCGGUCCCUAUCUGUCGCGGGCGCAGGAAAUUUGAGAGGAGCUGUCCUUAGUACGAGAGGACCGGGAUGGACGUACCGCUGGUGUACCAGUUGUUCCGCCAGGAGCACCGCUGGGUAGCCAAGUACGGAAGGGAUAAGCGCUGAAAGCAUCUAAGCGCGAAGCCCCCCUCAAGAUGAGAUUUCCCACUGUAAAGGUAAGACCCCUGGAAGAUGACCAGGUUGAUAGGUUCGAGGUGGAAGCGCGGCAACGCGUGAAGCUGACGAAUACUAAUCGGUCGAGGGCUUAUCCUA